UUGGAUUUGAAGGUAAUUUUUUUUCAGGGCUUAUAGAAUUGGAUUAAAUGUGUUUUUGUGAUUGCCAACCGAUUUGUUGUGAAUACUCAGAGUCAGAGAUCUCUACUUAUUGUUGCUGAAGAUGUAGAAAGUGAAGCACUAGCUACUCUCAUCAUAAACAAGCUCCGUGUUGGAAUCAAGGUCUGCGCCAUUAAAGCUCCUAGUUUUGGAGAAAGAAGGAAGGCCAAUUUACGAGAUCUUGCCAUUCUUACUGGAGGGGAGGUAAUAACUGAGGAGCUCGGUAUGAAUCUUGAAAAAGUGGGACCAGAAGUGCUCGGCACAUGUAAAUAG